rnacentral:lncRNA from 1 species
UAAGAAGAUACCUUGAGAAGCAGCGGACCAAUAUCGUAUUCAAGUUGUUCGACUCAAAAAAAGAGAUUCAGAUUUGACUUGAAAAGAAGAAACCAAAUUGAUUUUAAAAAAUAAUAAAAAAUACCAAAAAGAAAUAAAAGAAAAAUAAUUAAGCACAAAGAACAAAGAUCCAAAACAAUAAAUAAAACAAAAAUUAAAAAGUGGAAGAUAGAUUAAAUAAACUAAUGGAUAGAUAGAUAAGUGCCCAAUUGAAACCUUUGAGAGAUAAACCCCAACAAAUUCAAUUAAUGGCUCUAAUCAACCCUCCAAUAAAUAAUCAUUGGAAAAUUGAAUGAUAAAGAAUGAAUUCCCACGAUUCCUUGAAGAAAAUCGAGAAGAAAAACUGCUUGCUUCUAGAAAUCACAAGAAAACAAUUUUGCACAAAAAAAAAAAAUUAACUCCCAGAGUUGAAAGUUUUAUUAAUAAAAAACUAAUGUGUUUUUAAUAGAAAAUGAAGAGGCUUUUAUAUAGGCUAACUAAUUAUAUCAAAAUAAAACUCUCAAGUAUAAUGAAACUCUAAUUAAUUUAAACAAAAAGUAGUUUUAAACUGAACUUUCUUGUUGACUAAGAAACAUAAAACUCCUAAACAACUUAAAAUACUUCAAAAAUAUCCAAAAUUCAAAAUAAAUAAAUAAAUAAUAAAACCUAAUAAAUACAAUAUUGGGUAUAUAUGAUAAAAAUUAAGCCUAAAAAAUGAACUCAAUAUGAUUUAAACUCGAAUUAAAUCUCUAAACUCAUAAUUUCUAUAAUAAUCCCGUCCAAAAAUUCUGCUCGUGUAGUCUUCACUAAAAUGGUCAUAACUUGAGCUUCCAAACUUGAAAUCAAGUGACUCAAAGUGCGUUUCAAAGUCAAGAGCUCUUUAAACGCUAUGUAGACAUCUCAGCCUAGAAAUGCCUGGAUCUCAUCCAAAAAUUCGUCAUAGGUCGACUGAUCUUCCAAACUUGAAAAUUAAUAGAUUAGUUGAAUUGACUUUAAUAAAUUUCUCCUAUCUGAGCAUGUAUCAUAAGGUUGUUGUUGGUAAGGGGAAUCUUUUGUUGUUGCUGCUAUGAAGUUUUUUCUUUUCUUUUUAGGAAACCUGAAUAAAAUUUUGCUCGUGUUUGAGGUCGUUCGAUGAACCUCUAAUGUAUUGAAUAUGUUUAAUUGUUUAAUGAUGGAUUCUCUUUUCCAUAUUUUAAAGUGUUAUCUCUUCAGAUCUGGAGAGUUCUUUUGAUUAUUUGUUGUCAUGUUGAUAAGUUUUGCCAAAAAGCCAAAGGGGGAGAUUGUUGAGUCCUUAGUUGUUCAAAAUUUUGAAGCUACGGUUGUUGUUCGAACACGUCUUUGAACUACCUAUUGGAACACUCUGUGUCAUGCCUUGUUCUGACAUCUGUUUGGACAAAUUGUUAGGACUAUAGUUUGAACAUUUGUUUUGGACAGCCUAAGUAUAGUAUAAGGUUGAGUUUUUUAAUUUAAUCUUUAUAAUGUGUUACAUUUUUAUGUAAAUAAUCCUUAAGCCAUGUUUUAAUUUAAUCAAUGUUGUUGAUCAGAUUUAGGAGAGGAGGAAGCGAAAGUAUCCACAAUCUCAUCUCGAAGCCUUAUCUUUAUCUUUUUUUUACUUGGGGCCAAGCUAUUUUACUUGGAAUUGAAAACUUUGUUUGAAAUUCAAAAUGGGAUGUUUUUUCUUGGAUAAUGUCGCAAUUCAAAUGAUGAUUUUAUCUACACAAAGUUACUUGGCUGUAAUAUUUUGCCAAUAAAUAGGAAGCAACUAUGCAUGUACCAAUGCAUCAUUGAGUGAGUGCUUUUGUUUCAUUUGUUUGUGUAAUUUUUGUUUGUUUUCAUUUAUACUUUGCAUUUUUUAAAAAAAUAAUUGAAGGUUAAAUUUAAUUAAAAAAAUAAAGAUCAAAUUAUCAAAUUUUUAAGAAAUUACAAUAAGGAAAGAAAUAGUUAAGGCAUCACGUUUUUUAUGGCUUUCUUGUAGGACCUGAAAAUAUAAGUCAAUGAAUGGAAGGAGCAAGUAUGAACUGAAGUGCUUCAUGUGUGGUUACUACUUGGUAGCCAUGUUCACAUGGAAGGGUUGUCCCAUGAUUGAAGGUGGCAUUUUCCACCAGGUCAGUGCUCAAAUUUCUUUGAAAAUCUACUAAAUUCAGUAUUCUUGCCAUUUUCUCUUAUUUUUCCGUUAAUUUUCACCUCUAUUUCUACACCAACAAAAAUAGUUGAACCUAUUGGAUGCUAUUUUUUCCGUCAAUGUUGAUCUCUACUACAAUUUGAGCCUUUUAUCUCGUCAACAUCAAGAAAAAUGCUAGAAAUUUAGUUUAAUUCUGAAUUCUACAAUCCCUCUUUUUUCCCCUUGUGACCUUUUUCACUCCAUUUUUCCAUCAUUACGUUUGUUGUUCCACAACUAAUGUUAGUGUAAAUUUCUAGUGAAGAAAAUCUAAUACACGAAUGAAACUCGAACAGAAAAAGAAAAAAAUAGGACAAGAAUUCAAACCGUGUAUCAAGUCAUUAUUUUUAAGGUUAUAUUCGCCUCCACCUAUCUUCGGUGUGCAAAUGAGUUCUAAGCAAAUUAACCUCAAGGAUACAAUAAAGCCAAUGAUUAUUUUCAUUUUGCACUGACGAGAAUAGUCCACUACGUACUGAACAAUGUAUAACAAAAACUCAAUUUUUACAAAGGAUUUCUGCAGUAAUACUUUAUAGAUAAUCUAAUAAUAUUAGAAAAAUGAAGGAAGGAAAAAAAGAAUAUUAGAAUUUGUUGGUGUGUUUUUCAAAUGUAAUUAAAUAGGAAUUUUCAUGUCUCUUCAUAGAGACAUCUUUCAUCUAGUUAUCUUUUUGAAUAAUAAUGUCUUUAAAAUAAACACAUAAUUAUUUAUUUAAUAUUAUAACUAUUCAAAUAAUAUUAUUUAAAUAGUUAUAAUUCUUUUUCAAAAAAUCAAAUAAUAUAACUUUUAAUUAAUUAUACCUAUCUAUUUAUAAUUAUUGAAACACUAUACAGAUUUAAAAAUUUUCGAACAACUAAAUAAUAUGACUUGAUAAUUUCUUCCCAAGAAAAAAAAGAACAAAGAAAAAAAGGUUAUAUAACUUUCCACUAUCCUUCCCUGAAAUUGCCUUGUUAGACCAAUGACCCAUACAUGAUGUGGGUGGCUUAUUUUAGAAGGACUUGACCGUUGACCAGACCCAAAGCAGCCCUUUCCCACUAACCCACCACAGUGCACUCACUCACCACCAUAAAUACUCACCCAUUACUUCUCAAACUCACCACUUCAAACCACAAACUAGCUCUCAUUUUUACAUUCUUCACUGACCCUUUCUCACCAGAAAUUAUUUUCCUCCUUUUUGGCAAUGGCUACUGCUGAGUUUGGCCUUUCAGAAAAUGGUUACUGUGUCUCUUCAACUCAUUUGCACUGGAAAAUGGCUGCUGAUGCCCUCCACUGCUCCCAUUUCAACGAAGUUACUCAAAUGGUGUCACAAUUUGCGGAAGCUAAUACUGUUGAAAUUCAGGGCACUACCUUUACGGUGGCUCAGGUCACGGCCAUUUCUCGUCGAAACCAAGUGAUGGUUUCACUUGAUGAGUCCACUGCUCGAGACCAGGUGGCAAACAGUGCUAACUGGGUUACUAAUGUUGGCACAUAAUUAAAUUAACCUUGCACAAAUAAAUUAUGAAAAGUUAGAAGAGUGAAGAGACUUGAAUAUGAAAAGUGAAAAAACUUGAAUAUGAAUAGUGAAGAGACUUGAAGAUGAAAAGUUAAGAGGCUUGAAUAUGAAAAGAUACACACAUGCAUGAAUAGUCACAACUCCUAGCAUAUAGUGAUAUAGAUGAAUAGUCACUUACAACUCCUAUAUAAAGAGUUGUAUGUGAUGAAGAAUUAUUAACUUUGUGUGCUUGAAAUAAAAGAUUAUUUGAAAGAAUUUUUUCAUACAAAAUUUAUUUCUCUUCUCCAUUAUAUUCUUUAUCAUUUUCUUUGUUUUAUUUCUCCAAAUAUUAAUCAUUCAACUACA